AGUCUUAUAGUUUAGAUUAAAAUAUUAAAUUGCAAGUUUGGGGAAUUGAUUAAGACUUAUCAUUA
rnacentral:tRNA from 1 species